UGUGUGUUCAUGGGCGUGUCCAAUCCUGGCUCCUGUCCACCUGCAGCGUCUCCCACCUGCGGCUCAUCCAGUAAUCAACCUGUGCAGUCAAAUACUUUGGUUCAGCUCCCACUCUUAGUUCGUCAGUUUACCUCCUGUGUAUCCACCUGAGACGCUGCCCGCCUGCCUACCUGCACCCUGCCUGUCAGCCUGCCAAGCCACUCCACCCUGAACAGAACUGAAGGACACCAUUACCAAGCCCCGCUCUGACUGGAAGCCUCCGCUUAAUCCCAAACCAUUCGUUCCCUUUCCUGCACUGUUAAUAAUAAUAAUAAUUCCAGUUGUGUGUUUGACAUCUAACUUGUGUCCACCUCUGAAUCCUCCAGUGAAACCGUAACAAUUUGGAUCUGGGCAGGUAGCAAACCGUGGGUUUAUCAGAGCUUGCUCACGACUGGACAGAUGAGGACCAUGAGCGGGGAAAUUCCAUUUGAGGGCCAGUAAACCAGGACAAUGAACUAAAAUAUUGAUCAGAAAAUAAUGUCUGGAUCACUGGUUCUAUGCUUUAAGACUUCUGAUCCUUAAAAGCAAUGCUUACUUGUGACCUCUUUUCAAGUGUUGCAAAUGUCUACAACUUCUAUGUAGACAUUUAGACACAUGUAGACACUUCUAUGUAGACAUUAUGAUUUACUGAUGCUGAUUGCUGUUUCAAUAAAAAAAACACAACAAAAAAAAGUGAUUAAAAAAUCAUUGUGUUGCAGAAAUUGUCUUGACAUAAUUUAUUAAAUUAAAAUUUGACACUUUUAUGCUGUUAUGUUAAUGGUUCUUACCCCCAUU